UACGGGGGGGGCAAGCGUUGUUCGGAAUUACUGGGCGUAAAGGGCUCGUAGGUGGCCAACUAAGUCAGACGUGAAAUCCCCGGGCUUAACCUGGGAACUGCAGUCGAGACUGUCUAGCUAGAGUAUGGGAGAGGGAAGUGGAAUUUCAGGUGUAGCGGUGAAAUGCGUAGAUAUCUGAAGGAACAUCAGUGGCGAAAGCGACUUCCUGGACCAAUACUGACGCUCAUGUGCGAAAGCGUGGGGAGCAAACAGG
rnacentral:rRNA from 1 species